rnacentral:rRNA from 1 species
AUGAACGCUAGCGACAGGCUUAACACAUGCAAGUCGAGGGGCAGCACAGGUAGCAAUACCGGGUGGCGACCGGCGCACGGGUGAGUAACGCGUAUGCAACUUGCCUAUCAGAGGGGGAUAACCCGGCGAAAGUCGGACUAAUACCGCAUGAAGCAGGGGUCCCGCAUGGGGAUAUUUGCUAAAGAUUCAUCGCUGAUAGAUAGGCAUGCGUUCCAUUAGGCAGUUGGCGGGGUAACGGCCCACCAAACCGACGAUGGAUAGGGGUUCUGAGGGGAAGGUCCCCCACAUUGGUACUGAGACACGGACCAAACUCCUACGGGAGGCAGCAGUGAGGAAUAUUGGUCAAUGGGCGUAAGCCUGAACCAGCCAAGUCGCGUGAGGGAUGAAGGUUCUAUGGAUCGUAAACCUCUUUUAUAAGGGAAUAAAGUGCGGGACGUGUCCCGUUUUGUAUGUACCUUAUGAAUAAGGAUCGGCUAACUCCGUGCCAGCAGCCGCGGUAAUACGGAGGAUCCGAGCGUUAUCCGGAUUUAUUGGGUUUAAAGGGUGCGUAGGCGGCCUUUUAAGUCAGCGGUGAAAGUCUGUGGCUCAACCAUAGAAUUGCCGUUGAAACUGGGGGGCUUGAGUAUGUUUGAGGCAGGCGGAAUGCGUGGUGUAGCGGUGAAAUGCUUAGAUAUCACGCAGAACCCCGAUUGCGAAGGCAGCCUGCCAAGCCAUGACUGACGCUGAUGCACGAAAGCGUGGGGAUCGAACAGGAUUAGAUACCCUGGUAGUCCACGCAGUAAACGAUGAUCACUAGCUGUUUGCGAUACACUGUAAGCGGCACAGCGAAAGCGUUAAGUGAUCCACCUGGGGAGUACGCCGGCAACGGUGAAACUCAAAGGAAUUGACGGGGGCCCGCACAAGCGGAGGAACAUGUGGUUUAAUUCGAUGAUACGCGAGGAACCUUACCCGGGUUUGAACGCAUUCGGACCGAGGUGGAAACACCUUUUCUAGCAAUAGCCGUUUGCGAGGUGCUGCAUGGUUGUCGUCAGCUCGUGCCGUGAGGUGUCGGCUUAAGUGCCAUAACGAGCGCAACCCUUGCCACUAGUUACUAACAGGUAAAGCUGAGGACUCUGGUGGGACUGCCAGCGUAAGCUGCGAGGAAGGCGGGGAUGACGUCAAAUCAGCACGGCCCUUACAUCCGGGGCGACACACGUGUUACAAUGGCGUGGACAAAGGGAAGCCACCUGGCGACAGGGAGCGAAUCCCCAAACCACGUCUCAGUUCGGAUCGGAGUCUGCAACCCGACUCCGUGAAGCUGGAUUCGCUAGUAAUCGCGCAUCAGCCAUGGCGCGGUGAAUACGUUCCCGGGCCUUGUACACACCGCCCGUCAAGCCAUGGGAGCCGGGGGUACCUGAAGUCCGUAACCGCGAGGAUCGGCCUAGGGUAAAACUGGUGACUGGGGCU